rnacentral:rRNA from 1 species
UACGUAGGGUGCAAGCGUUGUCCGGAAUUAUUGGGCGUAAAGAGCUCGUAGGCGGUCUGUCACGUCUGCUGUGAAAACUCGGGGCUUAACCCCGGGCCUGCAGUGGGUACGGGCAGACUAGAGUGCGGUAGGGGAGACUGGAAUUCCUGGUGUAGCGGUGAAAUGCGCAGAUAUCAGGAGGAACACCGGUGGCGAAGGCGGUUCUCUGGGCCUGUACUGACGCUGAGGAACGAAAGCGUGGGGAGCGAACAGG